rnacentral:rRNA from 1 species
ACACAUGCAGUCGAGCGGGCGGAGGUAUGCUUCGUGUAACUGAGCUAGCGGCGGACGGGUGAGUAUAUGCUUAGGAAUCUGCCUAUUAGUGGGGGACAACAUUCCGAAAGGGAUGCUAAUACCGCAUACGUCCUACGGGAGAAAGCAGGGGAUCUUUUGGACCUUGCCCUAAAAAAUGACCCUACUCGGAGUUACCUAGUUG